GGAGGAAAAGAAACCAACAGGGAUUGCCCUAGUAACGGCGAGUGAAGCGGCAACAGCUCAAAUUUGAAAUCUGGCCUUCUGGUCCGAAUUGUAAUUUGUAGAGGAUGCUUUUGGUUAGGUACCUUUCGAGUUCCUUGGAACAGGACGCCUUAGAGGGUGAGAGCCCCGUACGAUUGGAUACCGAGCCUCUGUAAAGCUCCUUCGACGAGUCGAGUAGUUUGGGAAUGCUGCUCUAAAUGGGAGGUAAAUUUCUUCUAAAGCUAAAUACCGGCCAGAGACCGAUAGCGCACAAGUAGAGUGAUCGAAAGAUGAAAAGCACUUUGAAAAGAGGGUUAAAUAGUACGUGAAAUUGUUGAAAGGGAAGGGCUUAUGACCAGACCUUUGCCUUGCGGAUCAUCCGGUGUUCUCACCGGUGCACUCCGCUUGGUUGAGGCCAGCAUCAGUUUUGGCGGCCGGAUAAAGACUUCAGGAAUGUGACUCCUCCGGGAGUGUUAUAGCCUGCUGUGUAAUACGGCCGCUGGGACUGAGGACCGCGCUUCGGCUAGGAUGCUGGCAUAAUGGUCAUCAGCCACCCGUCUUGAAACACGGACCAAGGAGUCGAACAUUUAUGCGAGUUUUUGGGUGUUAAACCCUCAAGCGUAAUGAAAGUGAACGGAGGUGAGAGCCCUUACGGGUGCAUCAUCGACCGAUCCUGAUGUCUUCGGAUGGAUUUGAGUAAGAGCAUAACUGUUCGGACCCGAAAGAUGGUGAACUAUGCGUGGAUAGGGUGAAGCCAGAGGAAACUCUGGUGGAGGCUCGCAGCGGUUCUGACGUGCAAAUCGAUCGUCAAAUCUGCGCAUGGGGGCGAAAGACUAAUCGA
rnacentral:rRNA from 1 species